AUUUGGGAAUGGUCUUAACAGGG
rnacentral:piRNA from 1 species